GACGUAGGAGGCGAGCGUUGUCCGGAAUCAUUGGGCGUAAAGAGCGUGUAGGCGGCCAGAAAAGUCCGCUGUGAAAACUCGAGGCUCAACUUCGAGCUGUCGGUGGAAACUUUCUGGCUAGAGUCCGGAAGAGGAGAAUGGAAUUCCUGGUGUAGCGGUGAAAUGCGCAGAUAUCAGGAAGAACACCCGUGGCGAAGGCGGUUCUCUGGGACGGUACUGACGCUGAGACGCGAAAGCGUGGGGAGCGAACAGG
rnacentral:rRNA from 1 species